AUGCCAUUGCACUCCAGCCUGGUGACAGAGCAAGACUCCAUCUCAAAAAAAAAAAAAAAUUAGACAUUAUAGAAUUCAGAGCAGAAAGCAAGGCUACGUGUUUUUUUUUUUUUUUUUUUUUGAGAUGGAAUCUCGCUCUGUCGCCCAGGCUGGAGUAUAGUGGCGUGAUCUCAGCUCACUGCAACCUCCGCCUCUCGGGUUUGAAGCAAUUCUCCUGCCUCAGCCUCCCGAGUAACUGGGACUACAGGCACGUGCCACCAUGCCAAGCUAAUUUUUGUAUUUUUAGUAGAGACGGGGUUUCACCGUGUUGGCCAGGAUGGUCUCGAUCUCUUAACCUCGUGAUCUGCCCGCCUCGGCCUCCCAUAGUGCUGGGAUCACAGGCAUGAGCCACCACGCCCAGCCUUUUGAAGGCUAGAGGGAAUAAUUCACAAUAAAAAUAUAACAAUAAUCCAUAUCAAUAUAAAAUAACAAUAGCAAUUUUUAUGGUAGAGAAAAUAAAAGAGAUUUACAAACAAACACUGACUUUGAUUAUGCCAACUGUUUCCUGCCAGGGAUUCUGAUUGCUAUGUGUGUGUCCCAUAAAAAUAUCACACAUGUCAUCUUUUAUGUUCUCUCUUAUUUUGCUACCUAAAUGUUCUUAAGUAUGGUGACCACAUGUUAAAUAUGCAGAGCCACAAGAUGAAGGGAGCCUGAGUCCCUAACUUAGUGAAGGAGGACUACGCACCAAUUAGGAACCAUUGUUUUAAAUUUAUCAGGAGUGAAACAAAAGAACAACUAUUGUCUUUGAACCAUUAUUUAUUUGGGCUGAUUUGUUACAGCAGCUGUUACCUUAACAAUGUACCUUCUAAUCAAUUAAUGAGAAACCCAGUCAUUCUCCUAUGGGCCCUUCCCAAAAGCCUAGAGACAGAGUUUCCAGCCUAUUUGUUUAAAUAUUAAGGGUAGCUUGUGAGUGAAAAUCAGGAUGACUUUGGGAACCAGGGACUCCCUGGAAUGGGUACCUGCAUGGCAGAGAACCAUUAAGGAAAGUGGACAACCAGGAGACUAUGAUGUCAUAGAAAGUAAGAGAUAAAAGUAUUUAAGCAAAGUGAAAGUGGCUGUGUCAAAUGCCACCAAGAAUCCACAUAGACUGCUGUUGACUGUGAUAACUAUGAUCUAUAUCUGACCAGCAGACUUCCUACCCGUUCUGGUAAAGUAUCCAAAUAAUAAGGUGGUAUGGGGAAAAUAGGCAUCCCAGUGACCCAGAGUUAGUCAAGGAUAGCCUCUUUGGCCACAUAUAAGAGACACAGAUGUAGAUCUCCUGGAGAUGUGAUGAGAGGCCUUGGAGAUUUCUGUAAGAUUUGUAUAAUACAGGACCCUUUUGCUAGGUUUGGAAAUUUCUCUAGUAUUCAAAUAUCUUAAAACUUCAUGCAGUAUGGAAUCAGGCAAUUCUCUGGAGCAGUAACCAAAGCCAGAGAUACAAGCAACGAAUUGAGCCAUACGGGCAUCAGACUUACCCAGAAUGGGAUCAAUUCCUCCAGAUACCAUAAAAGUUGAUGUGAUAUUAAACUGACAAAUAGAAUCAUCAAAUAUAAUCCUUUCCGUAUAUUUACUGACAUUUGGAUGUCCCCAUGAGAAAUGUAUGUUUAAGUCUUGAGUAUAUUUUUUUCUUUUUUGAGAUGGAGUCUCGCUCUGUCACCAGGCCGGAGUGCAGUGGCGCGAUCUCGGCUCACUGCAACCUCUGCUUCCUGGGUUCAAGCGAUUUUCCUGCCUCAGCCUCCCGAGCAGCUGGGAUUAUAGGCACACAUCACCAUGCCCAGCUAAUUAUUAUUAUUUUUUUUUUGGUAGGGACGGGGUUUUACCAUGUUGGCCAGGAUGAUCUCGAUCUCCUGACCUCAUGAUCUGCCUGCCUCGGCCUCCCAAAGUGCUGGGAUUACAGGCAUGAGCCACUGUGCCAGGCCUUUUGUCCAUUUUUUAUUGAACUGCCUAUUUCUUCUUACUGAUUUGUAGAAAGUCUUUAUUCUAGUCUGGCAGGUAUUUUCUUUCAACACUUCCAAGAUUAUUCAUUGUCUCUGGCAGCUAAUGUUUCAUUUGAGAAAAUGCUACCUGUAUUAUUGAUGCCCAUGUGAAAGUAAUGAGAUUUUUCUCCACAUUGAAGAUUUCUCUUUAAUCUGUGGCUGAUGUUGUCUUUGAAGGAUUCUCGACCAUCCCUGUAUCUCUCUCUCUGUCUCUUUCUCACCCACUUUGGGUUGGGACCUCAAAGAGCUGCACCCUAGCAGUAAAGGUGGGGUGGAAAUUCAGGCCUUAAAGGGGUUAAAACCCAGCAUCAAAUAAUCUUAGUUCCUGAUUGAAUUAAGGUGAUCUGUGACUGCUAGAUCCUCAGUCUAGCUCUCUGCACAUCAAAUAUUUUCUAAAGGAAGGUAAGUCUAGUUAGAAAGUUAGACCAACAGACUUAAGCUAGGCUUUACAGAACUGAUAGGUUCGAAGUACUUCUAAUCCACCGUUGCCUGAAUGCCAUGGCAUUUUAUCUUUUAGUUAUAAUAGUUAACUCUUCUCUUCUACAAUGAUAUGUGAUUUAUUGUGUAAUGUUGCUUUUGGCUAAUUAAAAAAAAAAAAAACUCUGCCUCUGCCCUGGAGAAGAGAACAUACUAACACCAUUCAUUAGCUUAGCAGAAAUUUAGAGACAACCCUGUGAUUUUGAAUAAAGAUCCCUCUAUGGGCCAGAAACGAAUACAAAGGACCUGCUGUUAAGCCGCUGUGAAAUGGAAUGAGAGAAAAAUGAAGAGAUGAACUUGAAACUGGGGUUCUCAGCCUAAUAGAAUCGGCGCAGCUCCAGAACUCAGGAUGCUUUCAAUAUCAUUUUUACAGACAGCUGCUAUAUUGCCAAACUCCAGAGGACACCUUCCACAUGGAAUACAACAUAAAUGGUACCCUGUGGAGUUUUGUAAUAGCAUGACCCUACAUGAGUGCAGGCGGACUAGGGAGCGAAGGACCAAUCAAAGCCAGAACACUGAGCUUUAAUGAUUCCCGAAGGCAAUUUGAGCCUGUUGUAGAAAUAAGGGGAGGUGAUUUCAUAAGACAUCUAGAGGUGAGCAGUCCACGUAGGAUUACCACAAACAUAGAUUCAGAGAUCACAGUAAGCCUCUCAUAGGCACAGGUGCCUGAACAGAUUAUCUGAGUAAAAGAGUCGUUAUAUCAGACCCUCCUGAGAGAUGAGGUGGGAGAAUUUGAAAGCUGGACUGAGGAUAUGACUGUGCUGUGCAGAGAUGGGGACACUUGCUGAGGAAACACACGAGGAUGGGGAGUAGAUUGGGGAGGAAAAUGGGAGUGAGGUGACACAUCUAGAAAAUGGGAGAGCCGCUGGGUGUGGUGGCUCACACCUGUAUGUAAUCCCAGCACUGUGGGAGGCCGAGGCGGGUGGGUCACCUGAGUCGGCCUCCCAAAGUGCUGGGAUUACAGGCAUGAGCCACCGUUCCUGGCCUCAUGUUCUUUUUUAUAUCCCUAAUUCUUGUUAGGGCCAAGGACACCUUGGCCCUCUGCCUCUUCUUUUUCCCUUGUUCAUAAAUUCAGCUCCUAAGUCAUCCAAACUGUAGAACUCACCUCCAUUUUUU
rnacentral:lncRNA from 1 species